rnacentral:lncRNA from 1 species
AGUAACUGCUGAACAGAACUCUGUGAAGAGACUGCUUUGCUUGAGAUCUCUGGGCAAUUCCUGCUGUUUUCUGUCAUGGUUGCCUGAAGAGUAGAAAACCAAAUGAAGCUCUGAAUAAAGAUGCAGAGGGAGAAUUAUCACACCCAACAGAGUUGCAGCAAGAGUCAAGAUCUGGGAAAAGACAGAUUUUACUGUGACACGUGGCUCAGUGAAAUGGGUUGGGAAAGAAGCUGAAAAGAAACAGAAGCAUGCAGUG